UUUUUUUUUUUACUUUGAGCAGAUUGAGGUGAGAGAGAGGACUCCAAUUCCAAUCCAUGUUCCGGCACAAGAGUGGGAUCUUACUCUGUCUGAGCGGUAACUAAGUAGGAAAAGAGAAAUGGAAAAGAAAAGCGUCACUACCAUCCAGAUCCGUGAUUGAGCAAAUCGACAUCGUGCUGCUGCGAAUCAGAUCGAAGUUGCAACAAUGGCGAAGCCUGAAUCGCAAGAGCAUCCAUGGAUCUCGAAUGCAGUUCCUUUGUUGGUGGUUCUUUUAAUUGCACUUCACGUCUUCGCCUUGGUGUAUUGGAUUUACAGAUUGGCCACUGACAAUAAGCCACAACAGCAGCAGCAACUACAACAGCAACAUCAACAGAGAACAAAGGCUCAUUGACCGACUACAACAACAACGUUCUCAUUCAAUUUCAUUUUCUUCAAACAAUUGUUGUAUGAAAUUGUGUGCAGUAAAGGAUAGGAUUUUAUUUUUGGUAUAACAGUGAUUUAUGAGGUUUCGUUUAAUUUUAAAUUUUAGUGUUACUGAUAUAGUCGAUGCUGUUUGCUUCCACUAGCUAGUAGUGUGCUUUCUGUUGUGCCAAAAUUGAAUUAUGUGUGUGGAAUAUAGUCAAGCUACAAUGCAAUUUAGUUCAUCUCAUGUUAGUUGUAUUGUAUGCUUAGAGUAUGUUUAUAUCAAUAAUUCAAUACAAGAUGUAUCACAUUAA